UUAUAAUAAGAUGUACCGAAGAUCGGGUGUAGAUUAUUGUUCCUCAUCGAUCCGAGAUAUAGGUGUGCGGGUCCUGCGCAAUGAAGCGCUGUGAACCAUGUCAGGCGGGGAACCGAGCAGCAUUAAGCGGUCUGUUUCGUGUGACGCAGUUUCGCCUGCACAUCUAUAUGUCGGAUCGAUUUUAA
rnacentral:misc_RNA from 1 species